rnacentral:rRNA from 1 species
UGUGAGCUCGAUGAGUAGGGCGGGACACGUGGUAUCCUGUCUGAAUAUGGGGGGACCAUCCUCCAAGGCUAAAUACUCCUGACUGACCGAUAGUGAACCAGUACCGUGAGGGAAAGGCGAAAAGAACCCCGGCGAGGGGAGUGAAAAAGAACCUGAAACCGUGUACGUACAAGCAGUGGGAGCCUCUUAAUGGGGUGACUGCGUACCUUUUGUAUAAUGGGUCAGCGACUUAUAUUCUGUAGCAAGGUUAACCGAAUAGGGGAGCCGAAGGGAAACCGAGUCUUAACUGGGCGUUAAGUUGCAGGGUAUAGACCCGAAACCCGGUGAUCUAGCCAUGGGCAGGUUGAAGGUUGGGUAACACUAACUGGAGGACCGAACCGACUAAUGUUGAAAAAUUAGCGGAUGACUUGUGGCUGGGGGUGAAAGGCCAAUCAAACCGGGAGAUAGCUGGUUCUCCCCGAAAGCUAUUUAGGUAGCGCCUCGUGAAUUCAUCUCCGGGGGUAGAGCACUGUUUCGGCAAGGGGGUCAUCCCGACUUACCAACCCGAUGCAAACUGCGAAUACCGGAGAAUGUUAUCACGGGAGACACACGGCGGGUGCUAACGUCCGUCGUGAAGAGGGAAACAACCCAGACCGCCAGCUAAGGUCCCAAAGUCAUGGUUAAGUGGGAAACGAUGUGGGAAGGCCCAGACAGCCAGGAUGUUGGCUUAGAAGCAGCCAUCAUUUAAAGAAAGCGUAAUAGCUCACUGGUCGAGUCGGCCUGCGCGGAAGAUGUAACGGGGCUAAACCAUGCACCGAAGCUGCGGCAGCGACACUAAGUGUUGUUGGGUAGGGGAGCGUUCUGUAAGCCUGUGAAGGUGUACUGUGAGGUAUGCUGGAGGUAUCAGAAGUGCGAAUGCUGACAUAAGUAACGAUAAAGCGGGUGAAAAGCCCGCUCGCCGGAAGACCAAGGGUUCCUGUCCAACGUUAAUCGGGGCAGGGUGAGUCGACCCCUAAGGCGAGGCCGAAAGGCGUAGUCGAUGGGAAACAGGUUAAUAUUCCUGUACUUGGUGUUACUGCGAAGGGGGGACGGAGAAGGCUAUGUUGGCCGGGCGACGGUUGUCCCGGUUUAAGCGUGUAGGCUGGUUUUCCAGGCAAAUCCGGAAAAUCAAGGCUGAGGCGUGAUGACGAGGCACUACGGUGCUGAAGCAACAAAUGCCCUGCUUCCAGGAAAAGCCUCUAAGCAUCAGGUAACAUCAAAUCGUACCCCAAACCGACACAGGUGGUCAGGUAGAGAAUACCAAGGCGCUUGAGAGAACUCGGGUGAAGGAACUAGGCAAAAUGGUGCCGUAACUUCGGGAGAAGGCACGCUGAUAUGUAGGUGAAGUCCCUCGCGGAUGGAGCUGAAAUCAGUCGAAGAUACCAGCUGGCUGCAACUGUUUAUUAAAAACACAGCACUGUGCAAACACGAAAGUGGACGUAUACGGUGUGACGCCUGCCCGGUGCCGGAAGGUUAAUUGAUGGGGUUAGCGGUAACGCGAAGCUCUUGAUCGAAGCCCCGGUAAACGGCGGCCGUAACUAUAACGGUCCUAAGGUAGCGAAAUUCCUUGUCGGGUAAGUUCCGACCUGCACGAAUGGCGUAAUGAUGGCCAGGCUGUCUCCACCCGAGACUCAGUGAAAUUGAACUCGCUGUGAAGAUGCAGUGUACCCGCGGCAAGACGGAAAGACCCCGUGAACCUUUACUAUAGCUUGACACUGAACAUUGAGCCUUGAUGUGUAGGAUAGGUGGGAGGCUUUGAAGUGUGGACGCCAGUCUGCAUGGAGCCGGCCUUGAAAUACCACCCUUUAAUGUUUGAUGUUCUAACGUUGGCCCCUGAUCGGGGUUGCGGACAGUGUCUGGUGGGUAGUUUGACUGGGGCGGUCUCCUCCUAAAGAGUAACGGAGGAGCACGAAGGUUGGCUAAUCCUGGUCGGACAUCAGGAGGUUAGUGCAAUGGCAUAAGCCAGCUUGACUGCGAGCGUGACGGCGCGAGCAGGUGCGAAAGCAGGUCAUAGUGAUCCGGUGGUUCUGAAUGGAAGGGCCAUCGCUCAACGGAUAAAAGGUACUCCGGGGAUAACAGGCUGAUACCGCCCAAGAGUUCAUAUCGACGGCGGUGUUUGGCACCUCGAUGUCGGCUCAUCACAUCCUGGGGCUGAAGUAGGUCCCAAGGGUAUGGCUGUUCGCCAUUUAAAGUGGUACGCGAGCUGGGUUUAGAACGUCGUGAGACAGUUCGGUCCCUAUCUGCCGUGGGCGCUGGAGAACUGAGGGGGGCUGCUCCUAGUACGAGAGGACCGGAGUGGACGCAUCACUGGUGUUCGGGUUGUCAUGCCAAUGGCACUGCCCGGUAGCUAAAUGCGGAAGAGAUAAGUGCUGAAAGCAUCUAAGCACGAAACUUGCCCCGAGAUGAGUUCUCCCUGACUCCUUGA